UACGGGGGGUGCGAGCGUUGUCCGGAAUCACUGGGCGUAAAGGGCGCGUAGGUGGUUUGAUAAGGGUGUGGUGAAAGCCCGGGGCUCAACCCCGGGUCUGCCGUGCCGACUGUCAAACUCGAGGGCUGUAGAGGCAGACGGAAUUCCGGGUGUAGCGGUGGAAUGCGUAGAGAUCCGGAGGAAGACCGGUGGCGAAGGCGGUCUGCUGGGCAGUUGCUGACACUGAGGCGCGACAGCGUGGGGAGCAAACAGG
rnacentral:rRNA from 1 species